AAAUUAUUAUAAUAUUUUAUUUUAUCGCGACUUUUCAACUAAAUUCCCACUAGGUUCUAAAAAUAUAUGGUAAAAGCUUUUUAUUUCUAUUAUACUUUUCGUAUUUCCGCGGGUAAUUAUAUAUAUUAACGUAUAUUAUUAAUUUAAAAAAAAUAAAAUAAUAUUUUUAAACUAAAAAGCCCCCUCGGAUAAAUAAACACUAACCAAUUUCUUUUUAUCCUAACCCCGAAUUAACAAUUCACUUUAUAAUAAAUAUAAAAAUUGUCCAUAUUAAUAAACAUUUUAUAAUAGGUUAAACUAACAAACACUUACCUCCGGCUAUUAAGGACCCAUUCGUAUCCACUACCACGUUUACACGGCGAUAAUUUGCACUGGGUAUUUUUUCAGUGGUAUUUCGGCCAAAUUAAACAAAAGGUAUGGUAACGGACAAAAGCGCCAUACAAAAAAAUCAGCAGGGUAACGGGAAAGGAGGUUACGUGAUUGAAAUUCAACGGUGCGUUCCAUGGUGCGUGGCCCGUUGGGCAAAAUUCCGGUUACAAUUCUAACACAAAAUGGGACAAAUUUAAGGGGGGUUUAACUGGGAAUAAAUCCCAAAUUGUAUUUCCGCAAUAUUAUUACUGGGUGGAGUAUAAUAAAUACGAAUAAAUGUUUAAUAACCGGAGGUAAAUGCUCGUUAGUCUAGCCUUUUAAAAUUAAAUUGUUUUGACGGAUUAUUAGCAGGAUUCUAUUUCCUUAUAUGGUAAAUAAUCUCAAAAUUAAAAAAGAACAAAUAUAUUAUCCAGCGCGCUUAUUUCCCAUUUAACUUGGAUAUUUUUACAAAAAUUUCCCAUCUUAAUAAUUUACAACCACAAUCAUUAGCGAUAUAUUACCUCUUAAACAGUGUUUCUAAUAUUUAAAAAUUCUGGCUAUAACGUUUAUUAUUUGAUCCGGGGUCCCCCAAUUUAAUUAGGUUUUAAACCCUGUUUUGAAUUGCAAAACAAUAGGAUAUUAACCAUCCUCAAAACGCUAUAAUAAAAUCGCUUCCUACGCGUGCACCAAAAUAUGAAUUUCCAAACGUAUAGAAAAUAAAAAUUGUAAUAACGUAAUAAAAACAAUUAAAAAAAUGCAAUUAUUAAUUUUUUAAACGUUAUCAAAAUAAUAUUACGUUUCAAAAGCGUAAUGUUCCCGGGCUUUUACCUUUUUAAACAAUUUCUUGGAUAAUAAAUCGCGUAAUACGUAUUAUUAUUGUACGAUAAUACCGAAAUAAUUUUCCCGUAAUUUUAUUUUGUCGAUUUUUCCAAUAUUUGAAAUUUUUAUAUCCCCCGAAUUAACGUUUCCCUUUUUGGUUACAUUUGCGUAUAAUUUAAUUUCCGCCGGAAUUUGUAUUAUUCUUUCUAAUUUAUUUUUAUUUGUACGUUAAAUAAAACUGUUUUAGGUAAUUUGCGAAUUUCUUUCCUUUCCGUUCCCAUUUCUUUCGGUUUUUUGGUCCUAUUACUGGAAAAUAAUGCUGCUAAAUUAUUUUCAACCCGUCGUUUUUAAUUUUUAAUAUUAUUCCCAUAAUCUUAUAUCCGAAUUGGCGUUUUAUCCCGGGUAAAAAAAUAAUACCGCGAUAAAUAUUUUGUUAUUUCCUUAAUUUAAAUACUAAAUGUUACAAAACGGUAAAAUACGAUUUUUCUAUCUCCCUAUCCAUAUAAAAUCUUAAAUCAAAAAAAUAAAUUUAAAAUUUAAAAAAAGAUUAUUCCAUAAAAUAUUUAAAUUGCUCCAACUUUGGCGUAAUAGUUUUUUUCAUUUUUUUAAUUUUUUUAAUUUCGAUAAAUAUUUGUAUUUAUUUAACAAAAUUGCUUUAAUUAAUUUCGGUAACGGUACGUUCGGGCUUUGAAAACUCCAAAAUAUAAAUAUUAUAACGGUUUUAAAACGCAAUCGAUAAAAUUAAAAAUUUAUAAAAGGUUUUGCGUCUUGUAUAUAGUAUUUUUCGAAUAUUAUUUUAAAUAUUUUUUAUAUUUAUAAUAAUUAAUUAUUUAAUUAUUUUUCUAAUAAAUUAAGCUCCAGGAUAAAAAAUAGGCAUUUUUGGUUUCCUUCUUUUAAACUUUUGAAAAACUGGCGUUUUUUUUAAAUAAAAGAUUGGAAUUGCUUUUGACGUUUUUUAAUUUCCCGUUGGAAAUCCAGCUUUUGUUAUAUAUGUUUUCUAUAACGUUCGAAUUGGCGUAAUCUUUCUAACAUGGAAAUAGAUUACAAGUUUAAUAAUGUUUAACAAUCCGCCUAAAUAAUUGUAAGCUAUUAAAUAAGUGACCGAAAUAAAAAAAUUAAAAUUGUUAUAACUGGGGAUAAAUAUAUAUUAAAUACACGUUAAUUAACAAAAUAUAGGCUAAUAAUAUAGCAUAUAAUAAUCCACGAUAAUAUUAUAAUAAUAGCAUAUGGAUUUGAAAUUAAUUUGCAAUUUUUAAAGUUUAAAUACCCCUAUUUAUAAGCGGCGUUCCUAUUGCGUUUACGUAACGCAAAUUUACAAAUUAGAGAGAACCGAGCCCCUAAGGUUGUACGCUAAUAUGUAGGCACUAAUAAAUCUGCACGUAAUAAUAAAUUUAUAUUAAUGAAAACAGUCCGUCAAAAAUGCGUGGUAUAGGUAUAAAUAUUAGGCUAUUUAACGCUGUUAGAAAAUAAAAGGUAUACCCAACGUGAUUAAAAUAUAAUAAAAAAAGUAUUUAAAGGAACUCGGUUUUACGCCGGAAAACGUCCUGGCGGUUAGGGAACGCCCUGGAAAAAAGGAAAACCCGAUUUACAACUUUUAUAAUUAUAUUUCGUUAAUAAAGGACCAAUUUCAGCAGAAAAUACAAAUACCCAGAUUAAUAUUACCGUGGAUACCGAUUUUACCUAUUUUAUUAAUAUAUGCGUAUUAUAAUUUUCCCAAUUAUUUUUAUCUCCCGCCCCAAACAGGCCUUCCAAACUGUGCCCACGGUAUAUAUUAUUAGUUAUACCUUUUUCCCGUUAACUUUGGGAUACGAAACCGUUUGAAGACCGUUUUUCGCCGCCAAUACCGGUCGAUAAAAAAAUAAAUUAAAAAUACCCGGGUUAUUUUGUGACCGUUUGGGCGACCGGGAAAGGGCGAUUAAAUUAGAAUUCCAGAAAUAAAUAUUUACAGCGCAAUUUAUAAUUUUAAUUUAUUUGCAAGUUUUAACCUUUUUCGUGCUUGUAAUAUUUAUAAACGUAAAAUAAAUUUUUAUAAGCUAUUUUGUUAGCAAUUUGCUAAUAAAUUUGCCGGCCCACGGUUUUGUUCAAAAUUAAAGUUUUAUAACCGCCUUUUUCAAGAGGCCCACAACGAACAGCCACCAAGUAGAAAUAAGUUUAAAUUUGGCGUUGGCUUCUAAAUUUAAUAAUGCAAACGGAUAUUUAUCCCCAAAUUUUUGCUUUAAACUUUAUAAGUUACUGUUUUUUAUUAUAAUAUUUGUUAUAUUAUUAUAUUAUUUAAAUUCAUUUUUGACAAAUUUU
rnacentral:sRNA from 1 species